CCUGACUGGUGGGAUGGCUUAUGCCUGCACCAUCGACCGACCAUGAUCUUCUGUGAAAGGUUUGAGUACGAGCAUACCUGUUGGGACCCGAAAGAUGGUGAACUAUGCCUGAGCAGGGCGAAGCCAGAGGAAACUCUGGUGGAGGCUCGUAGAUGUGCUGACGUGCAAAUCGCUUUUCGGACUUGGGUAUAGGGGCGAAAGACUAAUCGAACCAUCUAGUAGCUGGUUCCCUCCGAAGUUUCCCCCAGGAUAGCUGGAGCUUGAUCAGUUUUAUCGGGUAAAGCGAAUGAUUAGAGGUACCGGGGAUGAAACAUCCUCGACCUAUUCUCAAACUUUAAAUAGGUAAGACGUCUGGGUUGCUUAAUUGAACCCAGGCACUCAAUGAGAGCUCCAAGUGGGCCAUUUUUGGUAAGCAGAACUGGCGAUGC
rnacentral:rRNA from 1 species